UACAGAGGUCUCAAGCGUUGUUCGGAUUCAUUGGGCGUAAAGGGUGCGUAGGUGGUGCUGUAAGUCAGGUGUGAAAUCCCGGGGCUCAACCCCGGAACUGCACUUGAUACUGCAGUGCUCGAGGACUGGAGAGGAGAUCGGAAUUCAUGGUGUAGCAGUGAAAUGCGUAGAGAUCAUGAGGAAGACCAGUGGCGAAGGCGGGUCUCUGGACGGUGACUGGACGCUGAGACGCGAAAGCGUGGGGAGCAAACAGG
rnacentral:rRNA from 1 species